rnacentral:rRNA from 1 species
ACAAGUACCGUGAGGGAAAGUUGAAAAGUACUUUGAAGAGAGAGUUCAAGAGGACGUGAAACCGGUAGGAUGGAAACGGAUAGAGCCAACGAACAAGCCCGUAUUCAGCUAGUCAGCUGCGUGCGGCAUGCCUGUGUGCUUGGUUUGCGGCCGGUUGGUGCAUUCGCGGUUGAUGUGCGCCGAGGCUUGUGAUGGAGUGCCUGAACUGUCCGAAGAGGCCUGGCUUCGGCUUGGGACCCACCGUCCGGGGAGCAGUGUUUCUUUUGCUCGUAGAAAGGGGGCUAGGGUAACGCGCCACACGGUUGUCGGGCUAUUCGCUUGGCCGGUCGCAUGCGACUAGGUCUUGUUGGGUGGUUCGUACGGCUGUGGGGUGCCCGGGCCGAUCCUCGGUGUAAAAGUUGGUCAUCUCUCCGACCCGUCUUGAAACACGGACCAAGGAGUCUAGCGUGUGCGCAAGUCAUUGGGUGCAGAAACCCAUAGGCGCAAUGAAAGUGAAGGUCUCUUUCUGAGGCUGAUAUGCGAUCCGUUGCACUACGGUGCGCGCGGAGCAGCAUAGCCCCAUCUCGACUGCUUGCAGUGGGGUGGAGGUAGAGCGUAUUCGCUGGUACCCGAAAGAUGGUGAACUAUGCCUGAGCAGGAUGAAGCCAGAGGAAACUCUGGUGGAGGUCCGAAGCGCUUCUGACGUGCAAAUCGAUCGUCUGAC